rnacentral:sRNA from 1 species
AAACCGGCCGGGAGAUUUGCAUGAAGACGCCCCUUGAAACCGCGAUUCUGAAGGCCUGCCGCUCCGCGCGGUGCGCCGCGGCAGCGUGAGCCGGGCUAUCGGCGAGCGCUUGAAGUGGAUCGGAGCAUGACCGGAUCAGAGAUCGCCAUGGGAGCCGGUGAUAC